ensembl:lncRNA PWRN1 Prader-Willi region non-protein coding RNA 1
GAAGCCAUGCAGGCUGGAGUGCAGUGGCACAAUUAUGGCUCACUGUAGCCUCACCUUCCUGGGAUCAAGCAAUCCUCUUUCUUCAGCCUCCAGAGGAGCUGGGACCACAGAAAACAUCUUGAUGGAUGUCUUCUUAGGAUGCACUUUACAAACAUCUGUGGGGGAAUUUCACCCAUGACAAAGGCUAUAUUAAGAGGGGAAGCAAAAUGGGAAGGUGUACACCUCCCUCCCCCACAAUGUAUUGUUAAUGUGAGAAAAUAUAAUCUUCCUGGUAGAAUACAAGAAGUCACAGCCACCAUGGAGAAACUGGCGAAAGUUAAUAUUAUCCAGCCAGCCCAGAGUCCUUUCAACCAUCCUGUAUGACAACUAAGAAAAUCUGAUGGCACUUGGAUAUGACAGUAGACAACUGGACACUACUAAUCUUUCCAAGAUACAUGCUACUGCAUUCUGUGGAUGAUAUUCUGGCUUCUGAAGACUUGUCAUUGCUACAGCAACACCGAGAUGCAUUGGCACUCUUCAAUCCAGAGGAUGGGCCAUCAACGCACAAAAGUGGAAG